rnacentral:snRNA from 1 species
CUGUGGCUGAAAGUAAAAUUUUGGAACGUCCUGCAUAUUUGUGGGACAAU